rnacentral:rRNA from 1 species
UACGUAGGGUGCGAGCGUUAAUCGGAAUUACUGGGCGUAAAGCGUGCGUAGGCGGUUGCUGAAGUCCGUUGUGAAAGCCCCGGGCUUAACCUGGGAAUGGCAGUGGAAACUAGGCGACUUGGAAUCUGGCAGAGGGGGUGGAAUGCCACGUGUAGCAGUGAAUGCGUAGAGAUGUGGCGGAACACCGAUGGCGAAGGCAGCCCCUGGGUUGAGAUUGACGCUCAGGCACGAAGCGUGGGGAGCAAACAGG